rnacentral:rRNA from 1 species
UCGCGGGACCAGAGAUGGUUCUUUCAGUUCGGCUGGAUNCCACACAGGUGCUGCAUGGCUGUCGUCAGCUCGUGUCGUGAGAUGUUCGGUUAAGUCCGGCAACGAGCGCAACCCACGUCCCUAGUUGCCAGCAUUCAGUUGGGCACUCUAUGGAAACUGCCGGUGAUAAGCCGGAGGAAGGUGUGGAUGACGUCAAGUCCUCAUGGCCCUUACGGGUUGGGCUACACACGUGCUACAAUGGUGGUGACAAUGGGAUAAUCCCCAAAAGCCAUCUCAGUUCGGAUUGGGGUCUGCAACUCGACCCCAUGAAGUCGGAAUCGCUAGUAAUCGCGUAACAGCAUGACGCGGUGAAUACGUUCCCGGGCCUUGUACACACCGCCCGUCACACCAUGGGAGUUGGGUCUACCCGAAGAUGGUGCGCUAA